GAUAAACGCUGGCGGUGUACAUAAGACAUGCAAGUCGAACGGGAGAAGACAGGAAGAUUUAUCUACUUGUUGGACACCGUGGCGGACGGGUGAGUAACACGUAAGCAACCUGCCUAUAAGAGGGGAAUAACAGUGAGAAAUUACUGAUAAUACCGCAUAAGCUGGAGGUAUCGCAUGAUACAUUCAGAAGAGAUUUAUCGCUUAUAGAUGGGCUUGCGUCUGAUUAGCUAGUUGGUGAGAUAACAGCUCACCAAGGCGACGAUCAGUAGCCGGAUUGAGAGGUUGAACGGCCACAUUGGGACUGAGACACGGCCCAGACUCCUACGGGAGGCAGCAGUCGGGAAUAUUGCACAAUGGAGGAAACUCUGAUGCAGUGACACCGCGUAUAGGAAGAAGGUCUUAGGAUUGUAAGCUAUUGUCGUGNGAGAAGAAAA
rnacentral:rRNA from 1 species